CUCCUGGUAGCUCAGUUGGUAGUAGCGUCUGUUUGAAAAACAGAAGGUCGUCAGUUCGAUUCUGACCUGGGGGA
rnacentral:tRNA from 1 species